rnacentral:rRNA from 1 species
CACGUAGGGCGCAAGCGUCGUCCGGAAUUAUUGGGCGUAAAGAGCUCGUAGGCGGUCUGUUGCGUCCGCUGUGAAAACUCGGGGCUUAACCCCGAGCCUGCAGUGGAUACGGGCAGACUAGAGGUAGGUAGGGGAGAAUGGAAUUCCCGGUGUAGCGGUGGAAUGCGCAGAUAUCAGGAGGAACACCAAUGGCGAAGGCAGCUCGCUGGGACGUGAGCUGACGCUGAGACGCGAAAGCGUGGGAGCAAACAGG